rnacentral:tRNA from 1 species
GGGGCUGUAGCUCACCGGGAGAGCAUCCGGCUGAAGACCGGUUGGUAGGGGGUUCGACUCCCCCCAGCCCCA